UAACUGUGGAAUAUACAGUCCUCCUUCACCCCCUCCAGCCUCCGUUAAAAAAAACCGUAGCAGAAAAUAUAAAGCUUCUCUGAUUAACAGUUUAGGUGCAGAACGUAUGUACACUCCUAAAAUGAUUAGCUUCUCUAGCUCUGUAGGGCGGCCAUACAUUGCAGCUGCAAGUGCUCAAAGCUGAAACCAUAUUUUCCGAAAGUCCUCGCACCCAGCCUCAGCCUGAAAGGAAGGUGGGGGUGGGCGGGCAAUAGAGUCUCUAGAAUGUUACUCCUGUAGUUUCAAGGACAUCUUGCUGAUGAGGAUUUGGUUAAUGGAGGAGAACUUAUGUCCUAGCGGUGACGUCAUUGGGUCCCAAUGUAAUCCUCUUGUGCUGAACCCAAUCAGCAGAUGUGCUGAGAGCCUGGCCGGAGCGAAGAAGCGCUAAUCCUUUAGACUGGAUGAGAUCAGCUGAAACAGCCAGGACUAGACCCAAAAACCCCUCUGCUAGGAAGAUCAAGAGGAAAAGGGAUAAAUUGAGAGAGAGACGCCUCAUAACCCCCUGGAAAGAGCUGGGGAGAAGAGCAGAGCAGGAGAAUGGAGAGAUGGGUGGUGCACCAAUACAAGUUCAUCUGGCUUUGUCGAGCCGCGCGGGAGCCUGGUUUUCACUCUGAUGAGCUCUUUCUUCAUUGUUCCAGGGGGAGGAAAAAAAGGUCUAAAAUUCAAAAGAUAAUGAGAGACUGGGCGCCUUUCUUAUUCAUCUCUAGCCCGCAUACACAAAACAAGCAUGCUGAGCCGCGGGAGGGCGUCCGCACUGGAUCUGAGAAAGGAAGCAGAGUUUAUGCCGCCCAGCCACCGAAGGCUGCUUCUAUUGGAAUGGAUGUUUGCGAUGAAUGGUGAUAUCCGAGAGGGAACAGAAAGGGAACUGUAAGAAAGAACCCCGCAAAGGUUCAGGGAAGCUGUUCUGUCACUUCAAACAAGGACUGAUCUUAAUAGGAGGAGAAAGAUUUAGCUCUGUCUUAGGGCAAAGCCCUCAGCUUGGACUUAAUGUCAGAAAAACGUGCCCCGUGUUCUCUACAUGUAACACCCCCGCUCCACUUCGAGAAGGGGAAGGGAGGGAAAUACGUAUGUCCAAAUCACUUUAAUUCCAUUUUCUUUGGUUAAUUCAACCUCGUUCCAAAUCUAAAACCAAUGGCAAAAUGUGUUGGAAUAAAGAGUUCUGCUUCUGUCAUGAUUCCUGGAUUAACCGUUGCAAUUACCCUAAUAAACUCCUUUUUUCAGAUGUGA